UCCUUGCAAUUGGCACAAGUAAUGGCGGGAUGCCGAGUUCCAAUUUGGGCGUUAUCCCACACCCUGAGAUCGAAUGCAUUCUGAUAGCCAAUGCGGUAGUUGGAUCGGGCUCCGUUGUCCCACUGAACGAUCACCACGUCCUUUGGGUUGUGAGUGGAGGAUCCCGCCAUUUUGGAUCCAUCCGCACUGCCAAUUUCCACGAUGGUGCCCAGAUGACCCUCGCCCCCGUCUUGAUCUUUCCAAUUCCAAUCAGGACCACGAAUGACCCGCACUCCGGGCUUGAUGGGGGUGGAUUUAGCGGCCAAAGCCAUUUCCAACACAGCUGAAAAAACAGAGAACAACUUCAUGAGGCCCUGUCUGUGGCACAACUGCGAAAUUAUCCAAGCCUCCACGAGCUCUUGGUCAAUUUUGCUUAGUAGUGCUCAUUUCCGCAUUACAUUUCGCUCCCUUGUUCUGGGGAGAAACAAAUUCUGAAUGAUAUCGCUUGAAAAUAUCUCAGACCAAAAUUCUUCCCUUCCUCUGUUCUGCCGGUUUCAAGACUGAUCAAAUUGAAAAGACCUGAUCUGUCAUAUCAAACAAAAUGUAUUGGACACGAAUCUAUAAAUGCAAUCUCCACAAUUCGCUAGUAAUCCUAAGGUUAAGGGUGGAUAAUUCGGAUGAUUUGUGGAAAUUCCCCAAUCCAACCCGUCGUUACUUUUUUUGCCUCCUUCAACCAAAAGAACUACGAUCAUUGACUCUCGUCCAAAAACAACCUGGGAUUCCCGGUUUCUACCAUCCAGGCUCGCUCAGAACGCAAUCUCUCGAUAGAUAGAUGGAUGGAUGCAUAGUUUAUCGUCCGCAGGAAUUCCAGACGCUUACCACGAGAAAUUUCAAAAACUUUCAGGGCUGAAUGAAAUAAAUGGAUGUCUUAGCUUGGGA